UCAUAAUGUUUUGACUCUGUCCUACCUCAAUGGCUGCCCUGUGAUCAAUGUCACUUUGUGCUUCCUCAGGAUGGGACAUUGCAUCAAGCUGCAGUCUGAUGAGUUCCUUAUGCCUCUUUCACAAGGCACACAACAAGGUACUAGGAGGCCUUUUCACUAUCCGUGUUUCUGAUUUCUGAAAAGGACCAAUGUGACAAGGAAGGUUAAAGUCAACCUCGUGUUGUUACAACAAUCAGCUACAAAGGUGCAACAGGCAGGUGCAGCCGCACAGCUGCACCACAUCGGGAGCAAUCACUGAAGAGCUUCUUAAGCAGCUGAAACCUUAGAGGAGGCAUUGGGUUGUUCACUCUGCUGAGUGGUUGCCAUGAGUGGAACUUCUGCUCUGGAUAAACCUUAUCCACAAGUAAGCCCUACAUUCAUACCAUCAAGAUUCAGAACCAUCUUCUUGACAAUAACCAUUCUCUGUCAUGAUCUGCCAGUGUUAGGGUUUUUGAGUCUGUGUUUUGUUUAUUUCCUUCUUAGCCAGUGUCAGUGUAGUAUUUUUGUUUACUUUUCUCAGCCAGGUGUUUUCUGUUCAUCCAGACCAUUAGAUUACUUCUGUUAGUUGUUACUUCCUAGAUUCUUGUGUUUUAUGUGUUUGUUUAUAUUUUCCUAUAGGUCUUGCUAUUUAGUCUAAUUCCCAUGUGUUCUGUUCAGUUCCUCGUGUCCCUGCUUUCCCUUUGCUCAUUUGUUUAAUUAGACACAUUCCCCUCAGUCUGGGGAUUUGCUGAUUUUUCAACUCUGUAUGCUACCCUGCUUACUUCCUGGCUCCAUGUGUGUUUCACUGUCUGGCUUACCCAUGUAAGUUGUUCUUGUAUAUUAUUAUCAUUAAAUGAAAGACUCUUCAACUCACCAUGCUGCUCCCGAGCGUCAGUCUGCACAUUGGUCCAAACAUACCAUAACGAAUCUUGACAUUCUAGCUCUCAUAGUUAACCAAUCCCAGAAGCCAGACGCCUACGGAAUCCUGACACUGCCCGAAAACAUA